CCUACGGGCGGCUGCAGUGGGGAAUAUUGGACAAUGGGGGGAACCCUGAUCCAGCCAUGCCGCGGGUGUGAAGAAGGCCCUCGGGUUGUAAAGCACUUUCAGUGAGGAAGAACGCCUGGUGGUUAAUACCCAUCAGGAAAGACAUCACUCACAGAAGAAGCACCGGCUAACUCCGUGCCAGCAGCCGCGGUAAUACGGAGGGUGCGAGCGUUAAUCGGAAUUACUGGGCGUAAAGCGCGCGUAGGUGGCUUGAUAAGCCGGUUGUGAAAGCCCCGGGCUCAACCUGGGAACGGCAUCCGGAACUGUCAAGCUAGAGUGCAGGAGAGGAAGGUAGAAUUCCCGGUGUAGCGGUGAAAUGCGUAGAGAUCGGGAGGAAUACCAGUGGCGAAGGCGGCCUUCUGGACUGACACUGACACUGAGGUGCGAAAGCGUGGGUAGCAAACAGGAUUAGAUACCCGGGUAGUC
rnacentral:rRNA from 1 species